rnacentral:rRNA from 1 species
UACAGGGGGGGCAAGCGUUGUUCGGAAUUACUGGGCGUAAAGGGCUCGUAGGCGGCCAACUAAGUCACACGUGAAAUCCCCAGGCUUAACCUGGGAACCGCGUGUGAUACUGGAUGGCUUGAAUUCGGGAGAGGGAUGCAGAAUUCCAGGUGUAGCGGUGAAAUGCGUAGAUAUCUGGAGGAAUACCGGUGGCGAAGGCGGCAUCCUGGACCGACAUUGACGCUGAGGAGCGAAAGCUAGGGGAGCAAACGGG